AGGCCAGGCAACGUCGGGGUGCAGGCGGGCCGGUCAGGGGGGCGCAUGUCUGCCGUUCCUACCUGGGUAUAUAAGCCCCUGGACGGUGGGGGGUUACUCUGAUCACGCUGCCCUUCCAUUCUCUCCCAGAGUUUGUCCGUCUCGUUCUGAAGUCCACCUUUCCACUUUUCAUUUCAAAAUCAAUGCUUAUGUCUUCAUCCACUCCUCCAGAGCAUCGUCAGCUGAAAGGGUAUUGUUUUAGAAAUGUUUUGCUUACUUUCUCUCUUCUCAACCCUUUUGCUUCUGAAGUCUCCCUGUGAUGGGAUCGACACAUUCAUUUUUUUGUAUCCGUACUUUGGAGGUUCAUACAGGCCCUGCGUUGCGGUGACCUCAGGAUGUGUGGCGCUGUGGAAUAUGGGGGGGGUCAGUGUCGAGAAGGAGAUGUGGGGAAAUGACGGACAGCUGAGAGGUUAGAAAGGAAAAUGUAAUUUCUUCAAUGCGCCGUUGAGGCAAAACAUAGACUCUUUCUUUCUUUCUUUCUUUCUUUCUUUCUUUCUUUCUUUCUUUCUUGCACCUAUCCUGUCAUCUAUUGUGUCUCCUCUGCUUUCCUCACUCACUCUCUGGCGCUCUCUCACUCAGUCAGUCUCUCUUUCUCUCUCCCUCUCUCUCCCUUCCUCCGUCCCUCUUCUCAAUUUGUCCUUCAGCUCUGUCAGCGCACAGUCCACAUUCUCUGAUCCCUCUAUUGCGGUUUCAUUAAGCUUCCUCAGUCAAACUUUGCUUGGUUAGGUGGGGAGGGAUGGGCAACCGUGAGUUUGACGCAUUUGAACGCCACAUCAUCAGGUUAUAAAAAAAUCCUCUUAUAAGAAAGGUUCAAGUUUUGAUUUUAUGUAGGACUUUUUCUUAGUACCUGCCAUUGGUUCUUUUUGGUAUUUUUUUCCUCCUCUCAUCCUCUUCCUCCCAUCCGGUGUGAGAAAAGCAGCAUCUCCCAUGACCCUCCUCUCCUCUCCUCUCUGCAUCCCUAAACUCUCCGUCGCUGAUUCAGCUCCCAGGAAACAGACAGACACUCCGCCUGCAGCAGCCACACCGCGCGGGCCGCCGCCCUGCCAGAUCACCCUCACACCGGACUCUGAAGCUGUCCCACCUCUUCAGACCAUACUGUAGGACUUCACACCAAAAAUGCUUUGCUAAAGCUGGUAAAAUGGAACCAAAUCAACUGUUCAAUGGAUUUGGUCCCCUUCAACCAGCUGUAGCUGUGCAUUGAUCACUCCGGAUCACUGAAGAGUGGGACAAAGAAUGGCUGACAGACACACCAAGACUCCAUCUCUCACUGACCUGAGGACAGGGCUCACCAGAGGGAAUCUGGCAGAGACACUGUGUCAGGAAUGGACACACUGAUCCAGGAGCAGAAAAGCCCAACUGAACCUUCAGACCUCAACUGGGUAGGCUGCAAGUAGGAAUGAAUCUUUUGUACACGAGAAGGGAUAUAGAUUUUUUUUGCAAUAAAAAAUAGUCCAGGUAAUUACUUAUUUAGUGAGUCAGCGUUUUUGUCAUAACUAUGUAUUGUAAUGUUUUACAGUCGAUAUUGUUGCUAUCCUUUGUAACGGACUGUACUGGAAAGGAGAAGGGGGAUGUGGGGUUGGUAAAUAAGUGAAGCAACGGUUGUCUCUCUCUCUUUGACUCUUAAUGCAGACGUCUGAUCAAUAAAAACCCAUCCUGAAGUCCAUAAA